AUUGAACGCUGGCGGCAGGCCUAACACAUGCAAGUCGAACGGAUGAAGGGAGCUUGCUCCUGGAUUCGGCGGCGGACGGGUGAGUAAUGCCUAGGAAUCUGCCUGGUAGUGGGGGAUAACGUCCGGAAACGGGCGCUAAUACCGCAUACGUCCUGAGGGAGAAAGUGGGGGAUCUUCGGACCUCACGCUAUCAGAUGAGCCUAGGUCGGAUUAGCUAGUUGGUGGGGUAAAGGCCUACCAAGGCGACGAUCCGUAACUGGUCUGAGAGGAUGAUCAGUCACACUGGAACUGAGACACGGUCCAGACUCCUACGGGAGGCAGCAGUGGGGAAUAUUGGACAAUGGGCGAAAGCCUGAUCCAGCCAUGCCGCGUGUGUGAAGAAGGUCUUCGGAUUGUAAAGCACUUUAAGUUGGGAGGAAGGGCAGUAAGUUAAUACCUUGCUGUUUUGACGUUACCAACAGAAUAAGCACCGGCUAACUUCGUG
rnacentral:rRNA from 1 species